rfam:Felis catus isolate Cinnamon breed Abyssinian chromosome B3, whole genome shotgun sequence.
GCCUGAGGGGCUCAGUAGGUUGAGCAUCCGACUUCAGCUCAGGUCAUGAUCUUACAGCUUGUGGGUUCGAGCCCCACGUCAGGCU